AUGCACUGACAGUAUAUUUCUAAAAUACAUUAUUUAGUAUUCUUUAGAAACAGUAUAUUUUAAGCACAUUUUGAAAGUAUAUGGGGUGUACAAGUAUAUUAUUUUAUGGAGAAAUAACGUGGGCUUAAAAUUACGAGAGAGCAGUAUGUUCUGUUACAUUUUAUAUUGUAGAUGUAUACAUUUGUAAUAUACUAUUAACAUAAUAAGGUACACUUUAACUUCACUAUAGUCAAGCAUUGGAUAAACCAAUGAACUGUGUUUUACCACAAAAUGACCAUGGUUUUGCUAAUAAUAAUCAAUACACCAAAAAAAAAAACAUGGUUACUAAACUUUUACCACAAAAAAACAUUCAUUUUCGUAAGGGGAAUAUGAGUGUUUGUUUUUUUGUAGUUUUUGAGUCAAUUGCAUACCGCUUUUAGCUGUACACAUUAAUUAACUUAAACAGUUUUCGUAAAUGCAUUUCAGAGAAAAGUGAAUUCUGAGAUUUGAAUAAUGCAUCUGACGUGUGGGAUGACGUCACGACGCACGUAUUUUGAUUUUUACCAGUCGCUCAAGACAGACGGAUUCAGUCCCAAGAAGCUAAAGUUUUUCAAAGACAUUUGUAGGGAGGACUUUGCAGCUAAUGAUUUCCUAAGCCUGAACCAAAACCUGCCAGACUAAAGUUGAUUUGGGAGAGAAAGACGUUGUAAACUUAAUCAUCUUGACAUUCUUCAAUGAGUAAUUGUUCAAUUUUUAGGCAAAUACUGUACACUUUGAAUGCUGUGAAUAAAACUAUAUUUUAAAUAUA